CUUUUUUGCGCUAGCCGGGACGAGGCUAUUUUGACGGUUGACCAAUUCAUUGUUGGCAAAGCUCUGCGACGGAGAAGACGGAUAUUCGGCCAUAUUUCUCCGCAACAUAUACUCGUAAGGCCCUAAUAUUUGGGCUACCUGAACUCCAACUAUCUGUAAGGAUGUCACCAUGAUUUGAGCGCGAUUAAGCGGGAGAAAGUGUGGAUUUAUGGACGAAACGUGAGAUGCUGCUGCAGAGUAUUAGCAACAUCUCUGAUGUCACGACCGGUCACGUGACGAAUCUCUUAGCCACGGACGUACAGUCGUUCUGUUAUGGAAUAACCGUUAUACCGGGUCUUUUGAUGGCCCCAAUCAUUAUCGCAACGACGGCGACGGUCAUGGUGUGGCUGGCAGGCUGGCCUGCGUUGGUUGGUCUGGCAAUGUCCGUGGGGUACAUAGCCAUACAGAGCGUUGUCGUCCAGCUGUGCGAGUACUACCGUGAGGAGACAGUGGAAGUUACCGACCAGCGUGUUACCCUCGUCUGUCAGAUCAUCUCGGGGAUCCGCGCUAUUAUAAGGAACGCAUGGGAAACGCCCUACUACGCGGCCCUCGAUACGAAAAGUGUACCUCGUCACCCAUUGAUUGUAGUCCUGUCUUCCCUGUGUCGCGAUGCCUGUGAUGCGAGCUGUGGAUCCUACGUCCACCUGAAGCCAUUCGCCGCGGCGGUUACGUUUAGCGGACCAAGCGCCAGUGCGUCGCCCUCGGCGGACGGAGUGGAGUCUAGCGUUAGAGGCGCCGUGAUUUCGAUCCCAGACGGACGAUGCCGAGAACGCGCGGUCAGGUAUACGACCGUCCUGUACCCCAAGGGGAAGCUUUCGGAUAUCUGCAAAAUAACCAGGCGAAAAUCUCCGCUCGCUCGAAACACGCAAGCCUCUUGGAGGGAAAUGGAUACUCACUUGCGGAUCGUCCGUACAACUCGACUCUCAUAGAGAUAUGCGAACGCCACAAGACCGGGUGGAAGCGCACGCUGACCGCUCUGAUCGCUGGUCGGAGAAUUUAACAGACGGAAUCAAACAGCUAUGAUGGAUAGAUAGGUGACACUGACCUUGACUCGGCCUCGUAAUAAGAUCCAAGCAUGCGUGAUACAAAGACCGCGUGACAAAAUCAGCACGUUUGUGACACCGACUCGCAUAAAGAGAUUCAAGAGUGAUUGAUAUACUGAUUGCGUGACAAGAUUCAAUAGUGAGUGACAUAGUGAUUACGUGACAAGAUUCAAACGUGGAUUGACAGAGAUAAGCGUACCAGAUGGUCGUCGCCCAUAGAGCUCAAUCCUCAUGGAGAUGUGUUUGUACCAGGUUCGAGGUACGAUACGCACGAAUCUCGCGCUGAUUGCUGGCUUAAGCUUUCGAAUGACGACUGUGUUUCUGUCACUGUUUCCGAUAAAGAUCUGAAACAAACAAAGAUCGAUCGCCAUUUUAACUAAAAUAGAAUAAAAUUAAAGAACUCAUGAGCUCACAAAAGAACGUGCGAGGAAAUACAAUGGAUACCAAAUCAAUUGGAGUUUCCAGUUGCACAGUAUGAUAUUAACAUUCUCUCAAAAUAACGUUAAGUUACUCUAAAGGCAUACAAGGGACGCUUUGAGCUUGAUAAAAAUAAGUGUACUUACCCUUGGUCUUCCACGCACGCGGUAUUUGCGGAAUCGUCUACCAUCGUUACUGUACAGCACAUAGUACGUCUUGACCCAUUGCCUCAAGUCUUGUCUUCCUUGGGUCAAGAUCUUGGUCACAACAGUGCGUCGACCCAGGUCUACUUGAAGCCAUUGUCUGUGGUUGUUCCGUUUAGCACUCCAGGCUCCACGCUUGGACCCUUGCUUGACGGUGUUCAGUCGCGCGCGGUCGGUUCCGUGGUUGCGGUCGAAGGAGGAUGAAGCUGUGAUGGCGCGGCGUGGGAUCUUACGGUCUUCAAUGCCUAAAGGUACGGAGUUCCGUGCUGAAAAAAAAAAGCAAUGGAUAUGUACAUUUAACAUCAAAACUGAUCAUCAAGAUCGAAGAAUCGUCUACAGUAGAAGAAUGAUCGAAGAUCAAGCAAGAUCAGACCACUGCAGAUUUAAUCGGAUCAUGAGAAAUCAAAGUCCUCUGGAGUCAUUCUCUAAAGAAAAUAACAAAUCAAGUGAUAACAGUUAUUAAAAGGCCCUUCUAUGGAAUCAAGGUUUCCUCCAUUUCAAUGACUUACAUGCUCUGACCACGUAAAGCUCGAGUCGCAAGGAGAUGUGGCGAUGCCAGGUCCUGGGGUAAACUCGCACGUAGCGCGCGGUGAACGGUGGGUUGAAUGCGUUGACCUUCAAGGAGUGUCGGUCCCGAUUGCCUCGGAAAACCUACACAAGUAAACAAUAGCUCAGUGAGAGAAGCUUGAAAGAAAUCGCUAUGUACCUUAAAUGAAUCGCACAUUCGUUAAAGGGAGCGCGCAUCAUCAUCCUAUCGCAUCAGAGCCAAUCAUAAUGCGCCUACGAUCGCAUCAUAGCCAAUGUGAAUUCUAUCGCAUUAUAGCCAAUCAUAAUGCGCGUACUAUCGCAUCGUAGCCAAUCAUAAUGCACGUCGUAUAGCAUCAGAGCCAAUCAUAAUGCGCGUACUAUCGCAUCCUGAGCCAAUCAUAGCACACGUCCGAUCACCUAAAAGCCAAUCAUACCGCACAUACUAUCGGCGCACUUACCACAGUUCUGCUCUUUGUCUUGAACCAAGUCCAGUGGCGCUUGUUCUGACUGUACCUGACCUUAAAACUCGUCACCCACUGAUUCGCGUCGUGUCGUCCUUGAGUCACGAUCUUGUAGAUCUUUUUGUACCCUCUCAGGUCUACUUGGAUCCACUGUCGGCGAUUAUUUAUCCGAGAGGACCAGGCGCCCACGUAUCUUCCCUUCUUCUUGCGGUGAAGGCGAGCAAGCCACGCGGCGUGGAACCUGUCCCAUUCACUGGACGCUGUGAUGUACUUGUUAGGCAGGCGACCGUUAGAGAUUCCAGAUGGCUGAGGCCUUGGACGACGAACUAUUAGAAUAGUAUAAUUUUCAAUUCAGUUCAAUGCCUGAAGGCGAGAUGCUCAUACUGCAAUAAGCUAUUUCUUCUAAGGUAUAAAGUUGCAUGGUAAAUCAUUCCACACAAUUUAAAUAUAAGUAGAGAGAGGUCCAUACCGUAUCUACGUCCGUAGAGCUCAACACGCAUUGACAUGUGUCCAUGGUAGGAAAGCGGGUAGAAUCGCACGAAGCGAGCAGCUACAGGUCUUCUUAGACGAUGGAAAACAAUCGAAUUCCUGUUACGGUUACCGCGGAAGGAC